rnacentral:rRNA from 1 species
GAUCCUGGCGUCAGGCCUAACACAUGCAAGUCGAACGGUAACAGGAAGCAGCUUGCUGUUUCGCUGACGAGUGGCGGACGGGUGAGUAAUGUCUGGGAAACUGCCUGAUGGAGGGGGAUAACUACUGGAAACGGUAGCUAAUACCGCAUAACGUCGCAAGACCAAAGAGGGGGACCCUCGGGCCUCUUGCCAUCGGAUGUGCCCAGAUGGGAUUAGCUUGUUGGUGGGGUAACGGCUCACCAAGGCGACG